rnacentral:rRNA from 1 species
AGUUUGAUCCUGGCUCAGAACGAACGCUGGCGGCGUGCUUAACACAUGCAAGUCGGGGAGAAAGUCUCUUCGGGGAUGAUUAAACCGGCGCACGGGUGAGUAACACGUGAGUGACCUGCCUUUUAGACUGGAACAACUUACCGAAAGGUGAGCUAAUGCCGGAUGAGUUAUAUAAGUGCAUGUUUAUAUAGGAAAAGUUGGGGAGACCUGACGCUGAAAGAUGGACUCGCGUCCCAUUAGCUAGUUGGUAGGGUAAUGGCCUACCAAGGCGACGAUGGGUAGCCGGCCUGAGAGGGUGGCCGGCCACACUGGGACUGAGACACGGCCCAGACUCCUACGGGAGGCAGCAGUGGGGAAUUUUGCGCAGUGCUCGUAAGAGUGACGCAGCGACGCCGCGUGAAUGACGAAGGCCUUCGGGUCGUAAAGUUCUUUCGACAGGGAAGAAAAUGCCUAUAAGUAACUGUGUAUGUAUUGACGGUACCUGUAUAAGCAGCCCCGGCUAACUCCGUGCCAGCAGCCGCGGUAAUACGGAGGGGGCGAGCGUUGUUCGGAGUGACUGGGCGUAAGGAGCACGUAGGCGGUGUUGUAAGUCAUUAGUCAAAGACUAGAGCUCAACUUUAGUAAGGCUAGUGAUACUAUAAUACUAGAGUAUCAGAGAGGAUUGCAGAAUUCCUGGUGU